UACAGAGGUCCCAAGCGUUGUUCGGAUUCACUGGGCGUAAAGGGUGCGUAGGCGGUCGGGUAAGUUUGAUGUGAAAUCUCACAGCUUAACUGUGAAACUGCAUUGGAUACUAUCCGGCUAGAGGAAUGGAGGGGAGACUGGAAUACUUGGUGUAGCAGUGAAAUGCGUAGAUAUCAAGUGGAACACCAGUGGCGAAGGCGAGUCUCUGGACAUUUCCUGACGCUGAGGCACGAAAGCCAGGGGAGCAAACGGG
rnacentral:rRNA from 1 species